GAUAACAAUCUGAGGAUUAUGAGAAGAAUCAGGUGGGUGAUGCCAUGGUAGUGAGAAGUUAAUCUAAACAUGAGCACAGGCCUUAAAAGCAAAAAAUCAUGAUCUACACUUGUUAUUUUGGCUCUCCUGUAGUUAUAAUGAAUUUUUAUAUACAGCACAUGCAACAAUAAUGUAUUCUUGAUACUCUGAUAGAUGACUAUGAGAACAGCCACUUAUUUUGCAACCUGAGCAUCAAACACUUUCACCCUUUCUAGUACAUAAUUUUUAAUCCUUUCCAAACAAAGCAGCACAGUUCAGGCAGUGCAAAGUUUGGCAGGUAGCAUGAUGAUGAAGAUUGAACAACUUAAUUGUGUUCUAGAUAGAAAGUGCCAAAAGGAAUCAGUGAUACAGGAGCCAAUAAGAAGCACAGCUUGGGCAGUCACACUCUUGCUUUGCAUCAGAGAAUAGGGUGGUUUGUAAUUUAGUAUUGCUGCAUCAAAUAUUUUUUCUUUUUCUUCCACAGAGGUGUUCACAGGAGAAAUUCACAAACCUUUACAAAUAUUUAAAGUUUAUCAGACACACGCAGACAAGAAGUGUGCAGAAAGCAUCUUCGCUACAGUUCCACAAAAAGACCUAAGAUUUCAGCGGAAAUUCCAAGGACUUGAGAUAUUUUUCCAGAAGCCAUUGGGAGAUGGGUGCAGCAAGAGCACAACCAGAGCUUGCCAUAAAGGAAUAGCUGAGGAUCACCCUCAUGUUCGGAAGUGCAGAAGUCAGAGUGGACAGCAGCAUUCCAGGGACAGAGCUGGGUCGCGGAUCUGCCCUGGGUGCAAUCAUUGAAGCUCAAGAAAAGACUGAUGCUUUCCUUCUCCAAACCUUAUCCUGCUUCUGUUUUCACCUGUGAACAGAAAGUGAAACACAAGUGGAGUCAACCCAUCUUGUAGUGGGAGUGGAGGUGACCUGGACUAGCUACACAUGCACAAGGAACUGGGACAGAUGCUGGGAAAGAAGUACAUGGAUCCUGGAAAAGCAGCUGAGCAGCUCUCUUACAGAUCUUCAUUAUAUUGAUUCAAUGAGUCCAAGUGUGAAAAGAAGAGAAAAUAAGAAUAUGGCAAAAAUGAACUAUUAGGAUUUCAACCAAAGGAGGGCCUUAAGCUACAGUUGGGCAAUGGCAGAAAAAAAUGCUGUAUCUGAUGAACCUGCAAGUGAAAGUAGGUGGGAGCAAAUUUGCCAAGUCUUAUUCCAGUAGACAGGUCUGUCUCUUGUGACAUUAAUAAUGCUUCAAGAGUGUUGAUAUAAAUCAAGAUAUAGCAAAAAGCAAGCCAUAGACAAGAUGGGGAACCAUAACUAAACUGCUGGUUUAGUUUCCUCGGAGCUGACAGUAAGACGGCAGCUUUCUGUUCAAUCAGAAGAGCAGAACUGGCAUUAGGCUGUUUCAGCUGCUUGAUGUUGAUGUUGAAGGGAAGUGAGCUGCAACGUGCAUGCUUGUAGGAUGGUGGCAGUGAAUACAGAACUUCUCAAGAAAACCCCAUCAUCUGAAAAAACACUACAGCCUGUUGCAGUGUUGAUGGGCUAAGGCACUAACAGAAACUUGAGAGCUUCUCUAAUUUGAUCUGAGAAGAUAACUAGUAGUUCCAGACCUCAAAAUUAAGAGACGUUCAACCAGCAGAUCUGAGUACGGAUGUUGCACAUAUGCUUUACCCGUGUGUGUCAUCAAAACUGUUGCUGUGAAGUGGUGAGCUUUAAUACUAUGAAAUAGAACUCUUCUGCAGUGAUAGAAAGUGACUGACCCUAGCUCUUCAACUAGUGGGUGUCUGAUUUGGAGACAAAACAAGAAACUCUGAGACAUUCCUGCCUUAUAUCUGCCUCAGUAAGGGGAGUGGAAUUAUAUUGUUUCAGCUGGGAGAUGUCUCAUUUGUUAUGAGUCUGAGUUCCCAUGACAAAUGGAUGCCAACUGUCUUCAUAUGCUACACAACAGUUUCAUCUGUAUGCAGCCCAGUGGUUCUUGUGAGUUGUUGCACAUGUGGUGGUGCUUUGUUUUUAAUAAAAAUCCAAGUCAUGAGACACUAAAACAAAAUUCUUUCUGUGCCUACACAUCAUAUGGGAACUUACAGGGUAUGUAGAUAUCAACCAAAUUCUCUGGUGCAAAGUUUAUGAAUGACAAGUAACACGUGUGUUCCCAAUGAUUACACUUCAGUUUGUACUGUUAGGAUGCUGGCAGUAGGACAUGUCAUUUUCUUGCCUAAAAAUCUUGUAUAACUGAUUGUAUAAAUUCUUUUAAAUGAGAUACUGUAUUAUCUGUACAUUCUUGCUAUAUUAUGUUUCCCUUUAGCCAUACCCAAUUGUGUUGACUCUAAGCUAUGCACAGUUGUUCUUUAAAAAUAACAUCAGUAUUCAUCUCAUCACCUCUCUCAAAGCAACAACAGUGGUGAGGAACUCUUACUUACAUUUCUCUUUGUGUGCAAGGGACAGCCUUGACUGGGACAUAAUGCUGAGUCAAGGAUAGCAAGUGGGAUAAUGGAAGGUGGGAGGCUAAUUGAUUGCAUAUUCAUCUGUUGGCAAAUUCAUAUACUUUUGAAUCUUAAGCACUGAGUUCCACAAGCCCCACCAGGAUGACAAAACUUGAGGCAGCUAUAAAGGUGAACUAAUUCUGGUGUGGUAUCUUUGUUGUUUUUUGUUUAUCUUGUUUUGGUUUUAAUUUUAUUUUUGCAUGACUUUAAUUGGACCAUUUUAGUGUCAGUCUCAUAUCUGUAUUGAGAGUAGCUCAGAGGAACCACCACAAUGAAAUAGACUUCUUGCUGGUCUACCAGCUUCUGUACAACUCAUCCAAACUCCUGUAGCUUUAUUUCAUCUCUUGGACCACGUGCUUCUCUGAAGUGUCAUCUUUCAGCAGUUCCUCUUUCAGUCUUGGUGUGCUCACCCUGGCAUCUGAGGCCCUUUGCAAAACAACAGUUUCCUACUGUAUACUUCCAAUUCUGGUUAUGCAUCUACUCUGAACUUGUGCUGCCUCUGAUUUUUCAGAACCAAUGAGUGAUGAAACUGUGAAUUCUAAAGCAAAAUCAGCCUGUGGUUUUCUCUUGGAGUGCAAUUCUUUGACCAUUUAGAUAAAUAUUUGUUGAAAUGAUUUAGACUAUCUGAUCUCCUUUGCUCAGCGCUCUCUCAUUGCUCUUACAUGUUCUCUAAUUUCUAACUUGCUCUAUUUCUUAUAAAACAAGUAUCACUAAAAGACAGAGGAAACUAGAAAAUGAGGGCAGAUGAACAGUGGAAAAUCAAGCUUUGCCAGUGUCAUCUAGCUAAUUGGGGUAAGAGCAGUACUGAAGAUGAACAGCAGGCAGAACUUUAGGCAGAAACUACUCUAUCCACCUAUGCUUGCACUUUGGUAUAGAAAUUUUAACUCUUCUUCAGCCACAAUUUUUUUUCAUUUUGAUGGAAGUCUGGACUACUGUUUUAUUUAUUUAUUUAUUUAAAUAAAAAAAAACACAGCUAUUUUUACAGGUGGUAAUGAAACAGAGAUUCUUUGCAUGCCAAGCACAUGCAAUAAUGAAAUUUUGCUUUGUAGCUACAACAGUAACAGUCCAGGGACUAUGCUCUAAUCUCUAGAUACUCCUCUCCCUUAUUCAUAGGUGAAUUGUUUAAAUUAAUGUGCAAUAAGCACUUUUCAAAUUUUCGGAUCAAGUACAAAACGACUGAGACUAAUGGUGUUUGGCCAGCUAAUUGCCUAGAUUAAGAUUUUGAUUCUUGAAUUCAAUGGCAAGUCUGUCAUCACCAAAGAUGCAAAAACUUGUCCUUUUCUGCCUGUCUCAUAUGUUUGGGUUUUGGUCAUGAAUAUAAUGACUAGCAAUAUCACAAUGAGAACAGAAUCCAGUGACCUCUGUUAUUUCGUGCUUUCAGCAGCACUGUCUCGUUGGGAGUGCUUUGAAUUUUUCAGUCAACUUAGCAACAUACUCAUGGAUACACUCUUCAUUAUUAAGCUAAUAGGAAGGUGCAUGGAGGACUUCAAAAUGGAUUCAAGUGUGAAACCAGUAGGUAAUAUACAUAAUGAGGCCAUUGCUACAGCUGUGGUGCCUGCUAGAAUUAAACUACAAAGGAACUUAAAAUUGGCUCUGGUUUAAGUUAGACCUGCACCUGCAAACAGCAGGUCAGAGACAUUGGGAACAUCAGGCAAACAGCCUGGGAUUUCUUAAUUCACUAGUGUUAUUGAUGUAUAUGUGAUCUUGAAGAAGUUUAUUUUUCCCAUCUUUCUCCUUGGGGGUUGACUACUAACAAGAUUACCUGUCUGUAGAUUUUGGGUUUCCUUUCAUAUCCAAAUUAUCACAAGGCUUCUUAGGGCAAUAUAAUGCUACUGUACAGAACUGUCUAAUAAUACUAACUGGGUCUCAUUUUGCAAACACCUGAGUGUUUUCAGAUCUUGCUGUGGUUGUCAAACACUUGCUGAUAUUACAAGGCUAUUCAAAAUUAGUUUUUCAACUUCUCCAAGUCUGUCUAUGUAUCUGGAACUCGGAAAUCAUAAAAUGAUGCCCAGCCUUAUUUUGAAAAGAUGGAUGUUCUUGUGUCUAAGACUGGUGGCGGGGAGCAGAGGGAGGGAAUAAAGACUUGGUCAAAUAUUUUUUUGUGCCUUAUAGCAUGUCACUUGGUCUCUGUGAAUCUCUGUAGGGAUCUUGUAACUACUCGCACCUGUGGGGAUAAUGGCCCUUCUUUUCUCCUCUUAUCCAUCCCAUUGUUUCAGUUUGUGAACUCUAACUAGUAAAAGACUGCUUUUUACAGUGUGUGUGUAAUAAGAUGAUAUCUAUAUUGUUUCCUUCAAGCUGUGCCAUAAAUAUUUUUGAGAAUCAUCUGUCAAAAUAUCUUUUUUAAAAAAAUCACAUUUAUGUGAAAACAAAGUUCCCAUGCUUCUAGGGGUUUGUUUGUUUGUUUGUUUGUUUUCUUGUAGUCCACCAAGACAACACAGCCCCUGUUUCCUGAAAUGGUCUGUGAUUUCCCUCUUCUGCACAAAUUGCUGCACUGUAUUUUGGAGUUGUGGUCUAUCAUGAGAGUGAUAUAAACUGGGAACCCACAGGAGCUGAUGAAUAAAGAGCUCUAAGUGCAAGAACAGCAGUUCUGGUGACUUUACCUCAAUUGUAUUCUGAGUAGGAAUUAAAUGUUUCUAAUCCUGGCCUCUUUAAAUGUUUUGAUAUGCUGUGUUUAUAAUAAAUCUGCAGGAACUUUAUAAUAUCUGAAACAGCAAAAUCCAAUUAUUGAAUUUAUAUGUGGAAUUUAAACAAGUGGUGAUAGAGAAAAUUCAAGGAUAAUUCAUUGAGUCAUGAGUUUCUUUUUGGUUUAGGAGGGUUUUUUAGCAAGUUCUGUUUGUUGUGUUUAACACAGUAAGCAUGGACAAUGUGAUGUAAGUACAUAACUAUUCCUGUUCAUACUUAAAGACUUGCAGAACACACAAAUAAUAAUAAAGACAAUCUGUGCCUAGGGAAAUGCAAGCAUUUACGCACAUGUAAAAAUCAAAAUGUCAGAAUUUACUUCUUGUUACUUACAAGCAACCUGGAAGACCCAGGAAAAUGAAGUAUAGUUUGAGAGACCUGGGUAGGAUGCUGCUGCCCGAGCUCAUGCCAAGCAUGUUUUGUGAUUGUGUGUUGUGUAUUAUAUCUCUCAGGGAAAUGAAAAUAGUGUAGUCUUUAAAGGAAGGAAGGCAUUCUUAAGCAAUACAAGAUUGCAAAUGUAGAGAGAAUGGAAGAGGGAGACUCAGAAUUCUUAAGAUAGCUGUUUUGGCCCCUCACAGUGAAAUAUAAAGUGAAGCCUUAAGAUUUUACUGACUUUAAUCAGGUUUUUCUUGAAGCAGUGAGCUUUUUGGCUUUUAUUUGUUACUCAGGCAAGAAAAUAAAAAAGUACAAGCCUUGUUUCUGAUGGAACUAGAUAAAUUUCAGAAAU